GUAAUGCACCUGAGAGGUUGAAAGCCCUGUCUGUAACAAGACGAUGAGUCAGGACACAGCAGUGCAAGCCCAUCACUGGGGAAUGUGCCAAAGGAUAUCUGGAAGAGAUCCCUAAAGAACCCUUAGGGAGCUGCAAGGUCGGCUUUCAGAAGAGAACACUUUCAGAUAAAGCUCACGCCAGGGCCACAUACCAGACCUACUACUUCAGACUCUCUGGGGAUGUCCUGCCAGCAUCGGCUCUCCUAAAGCCUCUCCAGGGGAGAUUUGAUGCACAGUUUAGGUUGAGAAGCACAAUCACAUGAUGCUUCACCCAUCCUGGUUUUAAAUAGAAUCCUGAACUGAAGAGCCAUGUUUGCUACUAAAGACGUUACAAAAAUU